UACGGAGGGUGCAAGCGUUGUCCGGAUUUAUUGGGUUUAAAGGGUGCGUAGGCGGCCGAUUAAGUCAGUGGUGAAAUCCCGCAGCUCAACUGUGGAACUGCCAUUGAUACUGGUUGGCUUGAGUACAAUCGAGGUAGGCGGAAUUUAUGGUGUAGCGGUGAAAUGCAUAGAUACCAUAAAGAACACCGAUAGCGAAGGCAGCUUACUAGACUGUAACUGACGCUGAUGCACGAAAGCGUGGGGAGCGAACAGG
rnacentral:rRNA from 1 species